rnacentral:tRNA from 1 species
UAUUUUUAUAGUGUAUUUACAACACAUAACAUUUUCAGUGUUAAAAAGCUAUUGCUAAAAAUAUCC